GACGAACGCUGGCGGCGUGCUUAACACAUGCAAGUCGAACGGAAAGGCCCCCACUUUUUUGGUGGGGGUGCUCGAGUGGCGAACGGGUGAGUAACACGUGGGUGAUCUGCCCUGUACUUCGGGAUAAGCUUGGGAAACUGGGUCUAAUACCGGAUAGGACCAUGGUUUAGUGUCUCAUGGUGGAAAAAUUAUAGUUUUGGUGCAGGAUGAGCUCGCGGCCUAUCAGCUUGUUGGUGGGGUAAUGGCCUACCAAGGCGUCGACGGGUAGCCGGCCUGAGAGGGUGGACGGCCACAUUGGGACUGAGAUACGGCCCAGACUCCUACGGGAGGCAGCAGUGGGGAAUAUUGCACAAUGGGCGCAAGCCUGAUGCAGCGACGCCGCGUGGGGGAUGACGGCCUUCGGGUUGUAAACUCCUUUCGUUAGGGACGAAGCCGCACCUUUUUUGGGUGUGGUGACGGUACCUUUGUUAAGAAGCACCGGCUAACUACGUG
rnacentral:rRNA from 1 species